CUAUCUAGCGAAUCUCGAACCUGAACCGCGUACCCGAACCAGAGCAAACCGCGAUUUAGGUGACUAUGUUCUAAAUCAACAUGUCUUAUUAUUGUGCCUUUUAUUCACUCAGGCUAACUCUGAGGUGUCUGCUUUACUUGGUCGUAUUCCAUCUUCUGUCGGUUACCAACUAACUUUAGCUACGGAUCUUGGAGGUCUUAAAGAGCGUAU